GAUGAACGCUGGCGGCGUGCCUAAUACAUGCAAGUCGAGCGAACAGACGAGGAGUUUGCUCCUCUGACGUUAGCGGCGGACGGGUGAGUAACACGUGUAUAACCUACCUAUAAGACUGGGAUAACUUCGGGAAACCGGAGCUAAUAUCGGAUAAUAUAUUGAACGGCAUGGUUCAAUAGUGAAAGACGGUUUUGCUGUCACUUAUAGAUGGAUCCGCGCCGCAUUAGCUAGUUGGUAAGGUAACGGCUUACCAAGGCAACGAUGCGUAGCCGACCUGAGAGGGUGAUCGGCCACACUGGAACUGAGACACGGUCCAGACUCCUACGGGAGGCAGCAGUAGGGAAUCUUCCGCAAUGGGCGAAAGCCUGACGGAGCAACGCCGCGUGAGUGAUGAAGGUCUUCGGAUCGUAAAACUCUGUUAUUAGGGAAGAACAAAUGUGUAAGUAACUAUGCACGUCUUGACGGUACCUAAACAGAAAGCCACGGCUAACUACGUG
rnacentral:rRNA from 1 species